rnacentral:rRNA from 1 species
ACACUCCUGCGGGAGGCAGCAGUGGGGAAUAUUGCACAAUGGGCGCAAGCCUGAUGCAGCCAUGCCGCGUGUAUGAAGAAGGCCUUCGGGUUGUAAAGUACUUUCAGCGGGGAGGAAGGCAAUACGGUUAAUAACCGUGUUGAUUGACGUUACCCGCAGAAGAAGCACCGGCUAACUCCGUGCCAGCAGCCGCGGUAAUACGGAGGGUGCAAGCGUUAAUCGGAAUUACUGGGCGUAAAGCGCACGCAGGCGGUCUGUCAAGUCGGAUGUGAAAUCCCCGGGCUCAACCUGGGAACUGCAUUCGAAACUGUCAGGCUUGAGUCUUGUAGAGGGGGGUAGAAUUCCAGGUGUAGCGGUGAAAUGCGUAGAGAUCUGGAGGAAUACCGGUGGCGAAGGCGGCCCCCUGGACAAAGACUGACGCUCAGGUGCGAAAGCGUGGGGAGCAAACAGGAUUAGAUACCCCUGUAGUCC